AAGCAAGUACACUUCAUCAGGUCAGAGUAUUAAUAUACGUGUCAAAGUAAGUACACUUCAUCAGGCCAGAGUAUCAGCAUACGUGUCAAAGUAAAUACACUUCAUCAGGUCAGAGUAUUAAUAUACGUGUCAAAGUAAGUACACUUCAUCAGGUCAGAGUAUUAAUAUACGUGUCAAAUUAAGUACACUUCAUCAGGCCAGAGUAUCAGCAUACGUGUCAAAGUAAGUACACUUCAUCAGGUCAGAGUAUUAAUAUACGUGUCAAAGUAAGUACACUUCAACAGGUCAGAGUAUUAAUAUACGUGUCAAAGUAAGUACACUUCAUCAGGCCAGAGUAUCAGCAUACGUGUCAAAGUAAGUACACUUCAUCAGGUCAGAGUAUCAGCAUACGUGUCAAAGUAAGUACACUUCAUCAGCUCAGAGUAUCAGUAUAAAGUAUUAGUAUACGUGCUGUAGUACG